UGGGGAAUCUUGGACAAUGGGCGCAAGCCUGAUCCAGCCAUGCCGCGUGAGUGAAGAAGGCCUUCGGGUUGUAAAGCUCUUUUGUCAGGGACGAUAAUGACGGUACCUGAAGAAUAAGCCCCGGCAAACUUCGUGCCAGCAGCCGCGGUAAUACGAAGGGGGCUAGCGUUGUUCGGAUUUACUGGGCGUAAAGCGCACGUAGGUGGAUAGUUAAGUGAGGGGUGAAAUCCCGAGGCUCAACCUCGGAACUGCCUUUCAUACUGGCUGUCUUGAGUUCGGAAGAGGUGAGUGGAAUUCCAAGUGUAGAGGUGAAAUUCGUAGAUAUUUGGAAGAACACCGGUGGCGAAGGCGGCUCACUGGUCCGAUACUGACACUGAGGUGCGAAAGCGUGGGGAGCAAACAGGAUUAGAUACCCCCGUAGUCC
rnacentral:rRNA from 1 species